UACAGAGGGUGCGAGCGUUAAUCGGAAUUACUGGGCGUAAAGCGUGCGUAGACGGUUGCAUAAGUCGGAUGUGAAAUCCCCGGGCUCAACCUGGGAAUGCCAUUCGAGACUGCAUAGCUAGGGUGCGGAAGAGGGAAGCGGAAUUUCCGGUGUAGCGGUGAAAUGCGUAGAUAUCGGAAGGAACACCAGUGGCGAAAGCGGCUUCCUGGUCCAGCACCGACGUUCAGGCACGAAAGCGUGGGGAGCAAACAGG
rnacentral:rRNA from 1 species